GGGUCCAUAGCUUAGUGGUAGAGCAUUUGACUGCAGAUUAAGAGAUCAUCAGUUUGAAUCUGAUUGGGCCCU